rnacentral:rRNA from 1 species
UACAGAGGGUGCAAGCGUUAAUCGGAGUUACUGGGCGUAAAGGGCGCGUAGGCGGUUGAUUAAGUGAGAUGUGAAAGCCCCGGGCUUAACCUGGGAACGGCAUCUUAAACUGGUUGACUGGAGUACUGUAGAGGGUAGUGGAAUUUCCGGUGUAGCGGUGAAAUGCGUAGAGAUCGGAAGGAACACCAGUGGCGAAGGCGGCUACCUGGACAGAUACUGACGCUGAGGCGCGAGAGCGUGGGGAGCAAACAGGAUUAGAUACCCUGGUAGUCCACGCUGUAAACGAUGAGAACUAGAUGUUGGGCAGCUUGACUGUUUAGUAUCGAAGCUAACGCGAUAAGUUCUCCGCCUGGGGAGUACGGCCGCAAGGUUAAA